UGCUUUUAUCUCGUCGCCACCCAGUUUUGACGGAGUCUGUUUCCCUUUUACAAAGGGUUUGCUGUCUGAGAAGUGAACAUGUUACCCAGGAGACCAAAAGGCACUCCCCAGGGAGGCAUUUCCCAAAGGAGCUGUGCUGUCCAGUCCAGAUGCGUGCGGCUGCUGCACUGACUCUCCAGGCUGCUGGAAAGCGCCUCGAUUUUUAUCUAUGGUGGGACAGAUCGGGGUUUUUGAUAACCUCAGUCUGUUUCCCUGAAGACGUGGGUCUGUGGCUUUACGACCAAGAAGACCCGAGGUGUCUAGGACAUCUUUUGGUUGCCCUGGAAGCUGGGCCUGGACCUGCGGUGAUAACUGCAGAGCAGUUACUCUGGGAACAACCCCCAUAGGAGCCAUCAGAUCACAGGACACUCGAAGAGUAAGAAGAUCCAUGCACACGGCAGAGCCAGCCAGGAUUCUGACCGGAGCCCGGGGGGCUGAUCAAAACCAUGGGGCCAGCAACGCUUGUGACCUCAGGUGGACCCAAGACCCCAAAUGAGUCACUUUCACAGCAUCAGGAACAUCGGUAUGAGUCACCUUUUCAAGUGAUGGGUCUGUUCUUUGUCACAUUCCCAGAACUAAUAAAGAUUUAUUUGUAUUACUACUAA